GAUGAACGCUGGCGGCGUGCCUAAUACAUGCAAGUCGAGCGAACAGAUGAGGAGCUUGCUCCUCUGACGUUAGCGGCGGACGGGUGAGUAACACGUGGAUAACCUACCUAUAAGACUGGGAUAACUUCGGGAAACCGGAGCUAAUACCGGAUAAUAUAUUGAACCGCAUGGUUCAAUAGUGAAAGACGGUUUUGCUGUCACUUAUAGAUGGAUCCGCGCCGCAUUAGCUAGUUGGUAAGGUAACGGCUUACCAAGGCAACGAUGCGUAGCCGACCUGAGAGGGGGAUCGGCCACACUGGAAGUGGGACACGGUCCAGAGUCCUACGGGAGGCAGCAGUAGGGAAUCUUCCGCAAUGGGCGAAAGCCUGACGGAGCAACGCCGCGUGAGUGAUGAAGGUCUUCGGAUCGUAAAACUCUGUUAUUAGGGAAGAACAAAUGUGUAAGUAACUAUGCACGUCUUGACGGUACCUAAUCAGAAAGCAACGGCUAACUACGUG
rnacentral:rRNA from 1 species